UUGUCUUUGAUUAGGUAAGCUACUUUUAAGGUCGGCUGAAGCCAGGGAAUUCUGGGUUACAUUUAAUCCGCAAUCUCACCGCAUGAGCUUUGAGCAAAUUGGCUGAGUUUGUACCUAGUUCAUGGUGAAUUGUGCCAUGGUGAUUUUAACAGGUGCUGGCCUGUGGAUCUUAAUAAAUUCUAAUGGGUCAUUAAAAUCUGUCUAUUCAUUAAAUAAUAACCACAAGCAUCAAAUUCUUCUUUGAAUUCAGAGGACAA